UACGUAGGGUGCAAGCGUUAUCCGGAAUUAUUGGGCGUAAAGAGCUCGGUAGGCGGUUUGUCGCGUCUGCUGUGAAAACUGGAGGCUCAACCUCCAGCCUGCAGUGGGUACGGGCAGACUAGAGUGCGGUAGGGGAGAUUGGAAUUCCUGGUGUAGCGGUGGAAUGCGCAGAUAUCAGGAGGAACGCCGGUGGGCGAAGGCGGGUCUCUGGGCAGUAACUGACGCGAGGAGCGAAAGCGUUGGGGAGCGAACAGG
rnacentral:rRNA from 1 species